rnacentral:rRNA from 1 species
GCUGGCGGCGUGCCUAAUACAUGCAAGUCGAACGCACUGACGGAGAACUUGUUCUCUUGACGUGAGUGGCGCACGGGUGAGUAACACGUGGGAAACCUACCCUUCAGCGGGGGAUAACCAUCGGAAACGAUGCCUAAUACCGCAUAGACGACAGAACCGCCUGGUUCAAUCGGGAAAGACGGCUUCGGCUGUCACUGAAGGAUGGUCCCGCGCUGCAUUAGCUAGUUGGUAAGGUAACGGCUUACCAAGGCGAUGAUGCAUAGCCGACCUGAGAGGGUGAUCGGCCACAUUGGGACUGAGACACGGCCCAAACUCCUACGGGAGGCAGCAGUAGGGAAUCUUCCGCAAUGGACGCAAGUCUGACGGAGCAACGCCGCGUGUGUGAAGAAGGUUUUCGGAUCGUAAAGCACUGUUAUUAGAGAAGAACAGCCGAUAGAGUAACUGUUAUCGGUUUGACGGUAUCUAACCAGAAAGUGACGGCUAACUACGUGCCAGCAGCCGCGGUAAUACGUAGGUCACAAGCGUUGUCCGGAUUUAUUGGGCGUAAAGGGAGCGCAGGCGGUUCGUUAAGUCUGAUGUGAAAGCCCACGGCUCAACCGUGGAACGGCAUUGGAAACUGGCAAACUUGAGUAUAGAAGAGGAAAGUGGAAUUCCAUGUGUAGCGGUGAAAUGCGUAGAUAUAUGGAGGAACACCAGUGGCGAAGGCGACUUUCUGGUCUAUAACUGACGCUGAGGCUCGAAAGCGUGGGGAGCGAA